rnacentral:rRNA from 1 species
UACGGGGGGAGCAAGCGUUGUUCGGAUUUACUGGGCGUAAAGGGCGCGUAGGCGGCCACCGCAAGUCGACUGGGGAAUCUCCGGGCUUAACCCGGAAAGGUCAGCCGAUACUGCGGGGCUAGAGUGCAGAAGGGGCAACUGGAAUUCUCGGUGUAGCGGUGAAAUGCGCAGAUAUCAGGAGGAACACCGGUGGCGAAGGCGGGUCUCUGGGCCGUAACUGACGCUGAGGAGCGAAAGCGUGGGGAGCGAACAGG